GAAUAGGCUUUUUUAAAAGUCACCAAAUCACACAGUGAAAACUCUU
rfam:TPA: Bos taurus chromosome 16, whole genome shotgun sequence.